rnacentral:rRNA from 1 species
AGCGUUGUUCGGAAUUACUGGGCGUAAAGCGCGCGCAGGCGGUCUUCCAAGUCAGUGGUGAAAGCCCGGAGCUCAACUCCGGAACUGCCAUUGAAACUGUGAGACUUGAGUAUGAGAGAGGUGAGUGGAAUUCCCAGUGUAG